rnacentral:rRNA from 1 species
AGUCUGGUGCCAGCAGCCGCGGUAAUUCCAGCUCCAAUAGCGUAUAUUAAAGUUGCUGCGGUUAAAAAGCUCGUAGUUGGAUUUUGGAACCUGAAUGGUUGGUCGGGCACUCCCUGUACUGACCAUUCGGUUCUUCUGUCUGGAGACUCCUCGUUCCUUCUUAACUGAAGGGCUUGGGGGAUCUAGGACUUUUACUUUGAACAAAUUAGAGUGCCCAACGCAGGCCUAUGCCUUGAAUACAUUAGCAUGGAAUAACGUAUAGGACUUUGGUUCUAUUUUGUUGGUUUUAAGGACCGAAGUAAUGAUUAAUAGGGAUAGUUGGGGGCAUUAAUAUUUAAUUGUCAGAGGUGAAAUUCUUAGAUUUAUGAAAGAUUAACUUCUGCGAAAGCAUUUGCCAAGGAUGUUUUCAUUAAUCAAGAACGAAAGUUAGGGGAUCGAAGACGAUCAGAUACCGUCGUAGUCUUAACCAUAAACUAUGCCGACUAGGGAUUGGAAGAAGUUAUUUUCACGACUCCUUCAGCACCUUAUGAGAAAUCAAAGUCUUUGGGUUCCGGGGGGAGUAUGGUCGCAAGGCUGAAACUUAAAGGAAUUGACGGAAGGGCACCACCAGGAGUGGAGCCUGCGGCUUAAUUUGACCCAACACGGGAAAACUUACCAGGUCCAGACAUAGUAAGGAUUGACAGAUUGAGAGCUCUUUCUUGAUUCUAUGGGUGGUGGUGCAUGGCCGUUCUUAGUUGGUGGAGUGAUUUGUCUGCUUAAUUGCGAUAACGAACGAGACCUUAACCUACUAAAUAGUUACGCGAACCUUUGUGUUCGCGGCCAACUUCUUAGAGGGACUUUUGCGUGCUUUAACCAAAGGAAGUUUGAGGCAAUAACAGGUCUGUGAUGCCCUUAGAUGUUCUGGGCCGCACGCGCGCUACACUGAUACGUUCAGCGAGUUUACAACCUUGACCGGUAGGUCUGGGUAAUCUUAAAAAGCGUAUCGUGAUGGGGAUAGAUCUUUGUAAUUAUGGAUCUUCAACGAGGAAUUCCUAGUAAACGCGAGUCAUCAGCUCGCAUUGAUUACGUCCCUGCCCUUUGUACACACCGCCCGUCGCUCCUACCGAUUGAAUGGUCCGGUGAGCUCUUCGGACUGACUGGGUCCCUCGGGAAACUGAGGCCUGCGUCGGGAAGUUGCGCUAACCUUAUCAUUUAGAGGAAGGAGAAGUCGUAACAAGGUUUCCGUAGGUACCUGCGGAAG